rnacentral:rRNA from 1 species
CCCUUAGAUGUUCUGGGCCGCACGCGCGCUACACUGACGAAUGCAACGAGCUUAUAACCUUGGCCGAAAGGUCUGGGUAAUCUCCAAAUUUCGUCGUGAUGGGGAUAGAUUAUUGCAACUAUUAAUCUUCAACGAGGAAUGCCUAGUAAGCGCGAAUCAUCAGUUCGCGUUGAUUACGUCCCUGCCCUUUGUACACACCGCCCGUCGCUCCUACCGAUUGAAUGGUCCGGUGAAAAUUUCGGACAGUGACGAUGCUGGCGGUCCGCCGCCGGCGCUGUCGCUGGAAGAUCUUUAAACCUUAUCAUUUAGAGGAAGGAGAAGUCGUANCA